AGGGUUCGAUUCUGGCUCAGGACGAACGCUGGCGGCGUGCCUAACACAUGCAAGUCGAGCGAAGUAAGUCUAAAUGAAGUUCGAUGGAAUUAGACUAUCUAGCGGCGGACGGGUGAGUAACGCGUGAGAAACCUGCCUUUCACAAAGGGAUAGCCUCGGGAAACUGGGAUUAAUACCUUAUGAUACUAAAAUACCGCAUGGUAAAAUAGUUAAAGCGUAAAGCGGUGAAAGAUGGUCUCGCGUCCCAUUAGCUAGUUGGUGAGGUAACGGCUCACCAAGGCAACGAUGGGUAGCCGGCCUGAGAGGGUGAACGGCCACACUGGAACUGAGACACGGUCCAGACUCCUACGGGAGGCAGCAGUGGGGAAUAUUGCACAAUGGAGGAAACUCCUGAUGCAGCGACGCCGCGUGAACGAUGAAGGCCUUCGGGUCGUAAAGUUCUGUCCUGGGGGACGAUAAUGACGGUACCCCAGGAGGAAGCCCCGGCUAACUACGUGCCAGCCGCUGC
rnacentral:rRNA from 1 species